rnacentral:misc_RNA from 1 species
UUACAUUGGGAUAAAGUUAGAGCGAGCUCUGAUCGGGCUAUGGUGUGGGAUCAGAUGAAAUCCAGUUCUUUUCAGUUAAAUGAGGAAAUGAUUGAGACUCUGUUUACUGUAAACAAUUCGAAUUUGAAUGCCAAAGAUAAUAAUGCAAGGCGGCAGUCCCUUCCAUUGCAGAACCAGGAAAAUCGGGUGCUUGAUCCCAAGAAGUCUCAGAAUAUUGCAAUAUUGUUGAGGGCACUAAAUGUCACCAUUGAUGAAGUGUGUGAGGCCCUUUUGGAAGGCAACUCAGAUACAUUGGGAACAGAUCUAUUGGACAGUUUAUUAAAGAUGGCACCAACUAAAGA